rnacentral:rRNA from 1 species
CCUACGGGCGGCAGCAGUCGAGAAUCAUUCACAAUGGGGGAAACCCUGAUGGUGCGACGCCGCGUGGGGGAAUGAAGGUCUUCGGAUUGUAAACCCCUGUCAUGUGGGAGCAAAUUAAAAAGAUAGUACCACAAGAGGAAGAGACGGCUAACUCUGUGCCGGCAGCCGCGGUAAUACAGGGGUAUCAAGCGUUGUUCGGAAUCACUGGGCGUAAAGGGUUCGUAGGCUGUUUCGUAAGUCGUGUGUGAAAGGCGCGGGCUCAACCCGCGGACGGCACAUGAUACUGCGAGACUAGAGUGAUGGAGGGGGAACCGGAAUUCUCGGUGUAGCAGUGAAAUGCGUAGAUAUCAAGAGGAACACUGGUGGCGAAGGCGGGUUCCUGGACAUUAACUGACGCUGAGGCACGAAGGCCAGGGGAGCGAAAGGGAUUAGAUACCCCAGUAGUC